GUGCUUGCUUCAGCAGCAUUUGUACUAAAGCUGAACCAAUGCAGAGAAGAUUCACUUGGUCCCUGCAUAAGAAUAGCAUGCAGAUAUGUGAAGCAUUCCAUGAAUAA
rnacentral:snRNA from 1 species